GAUGAACGCUGGCGGCGUGCCUAAUACAUGCAAGUCGAGCGAACAGACGAGGAGCUUGCUCCUCUGACGUUAGCGGCGGACGGGUGAGUAACACGUGUAUAACCUACCUAUAAGACUGGGAUAACUUCGGGAAACCGGAGCUAAUACCGGAUAAUAUAUUGCACCGCAUGGUUCAAUAGUGAAAGACGGUUUUGCUGUCACUUAUAGCUGGAUCCGCGCCGCAUUAGCUAGUUGGUAAGGUAACGGCUUACCAAGGCGACGAUGCGUAGCCGACCUGAGAGGGUGGUCGGCCGCACUGGAACUGAGACACGGUCCAGACUCCUACGGGAGGCAGCAGUAGGGAAUCUUCCGCAAUGGGCGAAAGCCUGACGGAGCAACGCCGCGUGAGUGAUGAAGGUCUUCGGAUCGUAAAACUCUGUUAUUAGGGAAGAACAAAUGUGUAAGUAACUAUGCACGUCUUGACGGUACCUAAUCAGAAAGCCACGGCUAACUACGUG
rnacentral:rRNA from 1 species